UACGUAGGGGGCUAGCGUUGUCCGGAAUCAUUGGGCGUAAAGCGCGUGUAGGCGGCCCGGUAAGUCCGCUGUGAAAGUCGGGGGCUCAACCCUCGGAAGCCGGUGGAUACUGUCGGGCUCGAGUACGGAAGAGGCGAGUGGAAUUCCCGGUGUAGAGGUGAAAUUCGUAGAUAUCGGGAGGAACACCGGUGGCGAAGGCGGCGACCUGGGUAGAUACUGACGCUGAGGUGCGAAAGCGUGGGGAGCAAACAGG
rnacentral:rRNA from 1 species